GGGCUCGUAGCUCAGUGGUCAGAGCGGGCGGCUCAUAACCGCUUGGUCGCAGGUUCGAAACCUGCCGAGCCCACCA
rnacentral:tRNA from 1 species